UGACCGUGCGAAGGUAGCAUAAUCAUUAGUCUUUUAAUUGAAGGCUUGUAUGAAUGGUUGGACGAGAAGUAAUCUGUCUCUAUUAAAAAAAUUGAAUUUAACUUUUGAGUGAGAAGGCUUAAAUGAUCUAGAGGGACGAUAAGACCCUAUAAAGUUUAACAUUAUAAUAACAAAAAGUUGAUUGGUUUAAAGAACUUAUUAUUAUGAAUAGUGUUUUGUUGGGGCGACAAGAAUAUAAAUAAUUUAACUGUUCUUUUUUGUAUCAAAAAUAUUUGUGUUAAUGAUCUUUUUAAGAGUAUUAGAGUAAAUUACUUUAGGGAUAACAGCGUAAUUUUUUUUGAGAGUUCUUAUCGACAAAAGAGUUUGCGACCUCGAUGUUGAAUUAAAGAUUCUUUAUAGUGCAGAAGCUAUAUAAGAAGGUCUGUUCGACCUUUAAAUCUUUACAUGAUUUGAGUUCAGACCGGUGUGAGCCAGGUUGGUUUCUAUCUA
rnacentral:rRNA from 1 species